rnacentral:lncRNA from 7 species
ACUGUAGCUAAGUUCUUCAGUUUUGAAUGUUAAUGGCAGCGUGACGUCUCAGAGGUUCUGCACCCUGUUUUUAGAGGCAAGCACUCAAGAAAAGCCUGCUUCUCUGAUGACAGCAGGAGUUACACACACAGUUAUACAAGAAAACAUCUGUUGAACUCCAUGUAACCUGAAAAACAUACGUGGUCUGGUCUAGAAAUCUGUGGGAGAGUAAGUGCAGGAUCUGGUCCCUAAAGCUGCUCCAUCACGUUGCCAAGUAACCAGAGGAGUAAUAUAGUUUGUUUUCCAUGGAGGGCAGGAAGAAUCAAAGUGCUUGUGUGAAGGAUCACAGAGCCUAAGGAAAUGUGUGAUCAGUGAGGAGACUGAAACCAGCAUGAUCCUGCCACUUAGAGACAUUCUGUACCCUAAGUGUGUCUCAUGCCUUCUUAUUUCUGCCCUCUCCAUGGACGACCUAGAAGAACAGUAGCUCACUACAGUUCUCAUGUGAUAACUGAAUGUGAACUAAUAGCGAGCUGACAAUACACUUUCAUGCUUUAUGAAAAGGAGUAUAUGAGGGAGCUGACAAGAGUAAGGAGACCUGGAAAUGUUCCCUGGUCACUUCAGCCUUGUCACUGUCACUUCUUCAGACAGCAAGCAUCUGUGGGGAAGAGCGAGCUGGAGGAACCUGCUCUAGGGAAUCUGCACCAUGUCUGCAUACAGGCUGGGCAAGACUUGCAAGACACAAGUAGACCAUUUGUCUUUGGUCCCAAAAGAUCGUGAAUGCCUGAAAUGGUGCUGCAGACACUAAGAAUGCAAGAAGGAACUUUCAAAUCAAGAAUUUCAGGAGGAAAGAUAAAAGGUUUUGGACUUUUCAUUGAAGCUGCUGCAGCGCGUCAAGCAUGUGGAACAUUUUAACAAGGAGUUUUUAAUGAAUCCCUGGGAAGAAAGUGCCCUCGAAAACAAUACUUCAGUACGUAAGCACUUAUAUACUCUGCAACAAUAAAAACACAACACAUGGAAAAGAUUUUCCUGCCUCUCUGUGUUUUAAACAAACUUUAGCCACAAUCAAGGUCAUAGCCAUUCACUGAGAGGUACUUUUGAUUAAAGGUUUUUUUCUCCAAGGUUGCAAGUAAAUUAUUUCAGCCCGUUUGAUGAUUUGCUAGAAAGGUGUGUUAAAUUGCUGGUAAUUUGAAUUGUGUAUUCAAUUGUGUCUACACAUUCCUUGCAUGUUUCCAUAAAUGCUGGCAUCACUUCUGUAUUACUCUUGGCUUCUUGCACUUGUGUCAGAAGGAAAUGAGUGAUUUUAACACAGCCAUGAAGUUCAAUACAAAGUGGAGAGGGGCUGAAUUUCCCUCAGGUCUUAAUCCCAGUGAAGGUUCAGGGCACUGAGCAGUUAUAAUCAGUCACUUGUCUUUCUGAAUUACUCUAUCCAAAGACACAGGCAGCUCUAUAAUGUCUUCUUAUUUUUCUGUACCAUCAAAUGAAUUUGACAUGAGAAGAAAAGAAAAUGGACAACAAGGAAAAUCAGGACACAGGAUUAAGACAGAGAGUUUUGACGUGUUGACCUUAGUGCUGAUUUUAUGCAGUCAAAUGUUUGAUGUUUAUAGUUUUUUGACCGUCUCUGCAACCUUUGCUGGAGCACUGUAAGAAUUAGAUGACUUGAUGUUUCUGAAGCUGUUUUCUUCUGAGGAAAAAAAGGAAACCAACUGAAAAAAAAAAACAAAAAAACCCACAACAUUGGACUGUGGUGUUCUGAAGACUGCACGUGAGUUCCUGCUGUUAAACCAAAUAUUUCUCCUCCUAAACGUAUUGAGCUGCAAUAUCUCCAGAAGUAUUGGCUCAACCGCCCUUACCCUGGGUGAUGCACCAUCUCCCUCUCGUGGUGGCUUGAUCAGAGAGCAGUUAAGGAAAAUUCUACUAUAACUUCAGAUAACAGACUUCAAGCUUUCAAGGCUAAAGAGUGAAGAUUCACAAUUGCAGGCACAGUGGUCAAAGUCUGAGAUAAUCAGUCUGGGAGGCAGACAGUCACUGUUUGCAUUUAAGAUUUUUUUUUUUUUUUGUAAUGUUCAGGAUGAAUUGGAAAGCCUUAAACUAAGAACAGCUGUAAUUUUCAAACCUGGAAAGAAAAUAAAAAUUGAAAAACUUU